GGUUAAGCGACUAAGCGUACACGGUGGAUGCCCUGGCAGUCAGAGGCGAUGAAGGACGUGCUAAUCUGCGAUAAGCGUCGGUAAGGUGAUAUGAACCGUUAUAACCGGCGAUUUCCGAAUGGGGAAACCCAGUGUGUUUCGACACACUAUCAUUAACUGAAUCCAUAGGUUAAUGAGGCGAACCGGGGGAACUGAAACAUCUAAGUACCCCGAGGAAAAGAAAUCAACCGAGAUUCCCCCAGUAGCGGCGAGCGAACGGGGAGGAGCCCAGAGCCUGAAUCAGUGUGUGUGUUAGUGGAAGCGUCUGGAAAGGCGCGCGAUACAGGGUGACAGCCCCGUACACAAAAAUGCACAUACUGUGAGCUCGAUGAGUAGGGCGGGACACGUGGUAUCCUGUCUGAAUAUGGGGGGACCAUCCUCCAAGGCUAAAUACUCCUGACUGACCGAUAGUGAACCAGUACCGUGAGGGAAAGGCGAAAAGAACCCCGGCGAGGGGAGUGAAAAAGAACCUGAAACCGUGUACGUACAAGCAGUGGGAGCCUCUUUUAUGGGGUGACUGCGUACCUUUUGUAUAAUGGGUCAGCGACUUAUAUUCUGUAGCAAGGUUAACCGAAUAGGGGAGCCGAAGGGAAACCGAGUCUUAACUGGGCGUUAAGUUGCAGGGUAUAGACCCGAAACCCGGUGAUCUAGCCAUGGGCAGGUUGAAGGUUGGGUAACACUAACUGGAGGACCGAACCGACUAAUGUUGAAAAAUUAGCGGAUGACUUGUGGCUGGGGGUGAAAGGCCAAUCAAACCGGGAGAUAGCUGGUUCUCCCCGAAAGCUAUUUAGGUAGCGCCUCGUGAAUUCAUCUCCGGGGGUAGAGCACUGUUUCGGCAAGGGGGUCAUCCCGACUUACCAACCCGAUGCAAACUGCGAAUACCGGAGAAUGUUAUCACGGGAGACACACGGCGGGUGCUAACGUCCGUCGUGAAGAGGGAAACAACCCAGACCGCCAGCUAAGGUCCCAAAGUCAUGGUUAAGUGGGAAACGAUGUGGGAAGGCCCAGACAGCCAGGAUGUUGGCUUAGAAGCAGCCAUCAUUUAAAGAAAGCGUAAUAGCUCACUGGUCGAGUCGGCCUGCGCGGAAGAUGUAACGGGGCUAAACCAUGCACCGAAGCUGCGGCAGCGACACUAUGUGUUGUUGGGUAGGGGAGCGUUCUGUAAGCCUGUGAAGGUGUGCUGUGAGGCAUGCUGGAGGUAUCAGAAGUGCGAAUGCUGACAUAAGUAACGAUAAAGCGGGUGAAAAGCCCGCUCGCCGGAAGACCAAGGGUUCCUGUCCAACGUUAAUCGGGGCAGGGUGAGUCGACCCCUAAGGCGAGGCCGAAAGGCGUAGUCGAUGGGAAACAGGUUAAUAUUCCUGUACUUGGUGUUACUGCGAAGGGGGGACGGAGAAGGCUAUGUUGGCCGGGCGACGGUUGUCCCGGUUUAAGCGUGUAGGCUGGUUUUCCAGGCAAAUCCGGAAAAUCAAGGCUGAGGCGUGAUGACGAGGCACUACGGUGCUGAAGCAACAAAUGCCCUGCUUCCAGGAAAAGCCUCUAAGCAUCAGGUAACAUCAAAUCGUACCCCAAACCGACACAGGUGGUCAGGUAGAGAAUACCAAGGCGCUUGAGAGAACUCGGGUGAAGGAACUAGGCAAAAUGGUGCCGUAACUUCGGGAGAAGGCACGCUGAUAUGUAGGUGAAGCGACUUGCUCGUGGAGCUGAAAUCAGUCGAAGAUACCAGCUGGCUGCAACUGUUUAUUAAAAACACAGCACUGUGCAAACACGAAAGUGGACGUAUACGGUGUGACGCCUGCCCGGUGCCGGAAGGUUAAUUGAUGGGGUUAGCGGUAACGCGAAGCUCUUGAUCGAAGCCCCGGUAAACGGCGGCCGUAACUAUAACGGUCCUAAGGUAGCGAAAUUCCUUGUCGGGUAAGUUCCGACCUGCACGAAUGGCGUAAUGAUGGCCAGGCUGUCUCCACCCGAGACUCAGUGAAAUUGAACUCGCUGUGAAGAUGCAGUGUACCCGCGGCAAGACGGAAAGACCCCGUGAACCUUUACUAUAGCUUGACACUGAACAUUGAGCCUUGAUGUGUAGGAUAGGUGGGAGGCUUUGAAGUGUGGACGCCAGUCUGCAUGGAGCCGGCCUUGAAAUACCACCCUUUAAUGUUUGAUGUUCUAACGUUGGCCCCUGAUCGGGGUUGCGGACAGUGUCUGGUGGGUAGUUUGACUGGGGCGGUCUCCUCCUAAAGAGUAACGGAGGAGCACGAAGGUUGGCUAAUCCUGGUCGGACAUCAGGAGGUUAGUGCAAUGGCAUAAGCCAGCUUGACUGCGAGCGUGACGGCGCGAGCAGGUGCGAAAGCAGGUCAUAGUGAUCCGGUGGUUCUGAAUGGAAGGGCCAUCGCUCAACGGAUAAAAGGUACUCCGGGGAUAACAGGCUGAUACCGCCCAAGAGUUCAUAUCGACGGCGGUGUUUGGCACCUCGAUGUCGGCUCAUCACAUCCUGGGGCUGAAGUAGGUCCCAAGGGUAUGGCUGUUCGCCAUUUAAAGUGGUACGCGAGCUGGGUUUAGAACGUCGUGAGACAGUUCGGUCCCUAUCUGCCGUGGGCGCUGGAGAACUGAGGGGGGCUGCUCCUAGUACGAGAGGACCGGAGUGGACGCAUCACUGGUGUUCGGGUUGUCAUGCCAAUGGCACUGCCCGGUAGCUAAAUGCGGAAGAGAUAAGUGCUGAAAGCAUCUAAGCACGAAACUUGCCCCGAGAUGAGUUCUCCCUGAGACUUAGAGUCUCCUGAAGGAACGUUGAAGACGACGACGUUGAUAGGCCGGGUGUGUAAGCGCAGCGAUGCGUUGAGCUAACCGGUACUAAUGAACCGUGAGGCUUAACCUU
rnacentral:rRNA from 1 species